rnacentral:rRNA from 1 species
ACGAACCGUGCGAACGUUAUUCGGAAUCACUGGGCUUAAAGCGCGUGUAGGCGGGCCGGCACGUCGGUCGCUGAAAUCCCCCGGCUCAACCGGGGAACGGGCGCCGAUACGACCGGCCUGGAGGGGGGUAGGGGGACCUGGAACUUCCGGUGGAGCGGUGAAAUGCGUUGAGAUCGGAAGGAACGCCCGUGGCGAAAGCGAGGUCCUGGGCCCUUACUGACGCUGAGACGCGAAAGCCAGGGGAGCGAACGGGA